CCAUCUUUACUAAAAAUACAAAAAUUAGCUGGGCCUGUUGGUGGGUGCCCAUGGUCCCAGCUACUCAGGAGACUGAGGCAGGAGAAUCGCUUGAACCCAGGACGCAGAGAUUCCAGUGAGCCGAGAUCAUGCCACUGCACUCCAGCCUGGGCAGCAGAAUGAGCAGUGUGAGACUCUGUCUCAAAAGAAAAAAAAAAUGCCAGUUCCCCAUCCCUGCCUCACACCAAGGAGGCAGACUCCCCAGAAGAUUAGCCAGGGAAUCUACAUUUUACAGUAGGGUGAUUCUUCUUUAGAACCACUGCCCUUGAUCCUUUUGUACUUGGUAAGCAUGAUGAUUGGGUUUUUAUGCUUAUAUAUGAGACAUGCUUGUCUCAAAUCUUGUUACAGCACAUUACCCUUCCUACUUAAAAGGUUAAAAAAAAAAAGAACCAUCGCCCUUGAUCAUGUAAAUAUUUUAUUACAUUCUGUCCUACAGCUCAUGAUGAUCUCAGACAGGUUGAACAGGAGUUGUCACCCAACCCCUCAAGAUAUAGAUGAAGAAAUCUGAGCCCUGACUGGGAAAGGGGUUUACUUGAGAUUUUAAAAUGUCCAUUAAGUCAUGUGCACCCCAUCUUUGAGCCCCUGAAUGAUUUGGCUCCUGCUUGCCUUCUUUUUUUUUUGAGAUGGAGUCUUGCUCCGUUGCCCAGGCUGGAGUGCAAUGGCACCAACUCGGC
rnacentral:lncRNA from 1 species